GUGGAUAUAGCUCAGUGGUAGAGUGCAUGCUUAGCAUGCAUGAGGGCCUGGGUUCAAUCCCUAGUACCUCCA
rnacentral:tRNA from 1 species